UACAGAGGUGGCAAGCGUUGUUCGGAAUUACUGGGCGUAAAGGGCGCGUAGGCGGCCUUCUAAGUCAGACGUGAAAUCCCCAGGCUUAACUUGGGAACUGCGUCUGAUACUGGAGGGCUUGAGUGCGGGAGAGGGAUGUGGAAUUCCAGGUGUAGCGGUGAAAUGCGUAGAUAUCUGGAGGAACACCGGUGGCGAAGGCGGCAUCCUGGACCGACACUGACGCUGAGGCGCGAAAGCUAGGGGAGCAAACGGG
rnacentral:rRNA from 1 species